rnacentral:piRNA from 1 species
UAGAUCAAGGUACCAUACACUGAGUGUGAUC